CAUGCAAGUCGAGCGGAUCUUAUCCUUCGGGAUAAGAUUAGCGGCGGACGGGUGAGUAACACGUGGGUAACCUGCCUGUAAGACUGGGAUAACAUUCGGAAACGAAUGCUAAUACCGGAUACGCGAUUUGGUCGCAUGAUCGAACCUUGAAAGAUGGAGCAAUCUAUCACUUAUAGAUGGGCCCGCGGCGCAUUAGCUAGUUGGUGAGGUAAUGGCUCACCAAGGCGACGAUGCGUAGCCGACCUGAGAGGGUGAUCGGCCACACUGGGACUGAGACACGGCCCAGACUCCUACGGGAGGCAGCAGUAGGGAAUCUUCCGCAAUGGACGAAAGUCUGACGGAGCAACGCCGCGUGAGCGAAGAAGGUCUUCGGAUCGUAAAGCUCUGUUGUUAGGGAAGAACAAGUACCGUUCGAAUAGGGCGGUACCUUGACGGUACCUAACCAGAAAGCCACGGCUAACUACGUGCCAGCAGCCGCGGUAAUACGUAGGUGGCAAGCGCUAUCCGGAAUUAUUGGGCGUAAAGCGCGCGCAGGCGGUCCUUUAAGUCUGAUGUGAAAGCCCACGGCUCAACCGUGGAGGGUCAUUGGAAACUGGGGGACUUGAGUGCAGAAGAGGAGAGCGGAAUUCCACGUGUAGCGGUGAAAUGCGUAGAGAUGUGGAGGAACACCAGUGGCGAAGGCGGCUCUCUGGUCUGUAACUGACGCUGA
rnacentral:rRNA from 1 species